UACGUAGGUGUCGAGCGUUGUCCGGAUUUAUUGGGCGUAAAGCGCCCGCAGGCGGCUUGGCAAGUUUGAGGUGAAAUCUCCCGGCUCAACUGGGAGGGUGCCUCGAAAACUGCCAGGCUUGAGUCAUGGAGAGGGAUGUGGAAUUCCAGGUGUAGUGGUGAAAUGCGUAGAGAUCGGGAGGAACACCCGUGGCGAAGGCGGCCACCUGGGCCGACCCUGACGCUGAGGCGCGAAGGCGUGGGGAGCGAACGGG
rnacentral:rRNA from 1 species